rnacentral:hammerhead_ribozyme from 1 species
AUCCAGAUGAAGAGUCUCAAAUAAGACAAAACGUGCGUCCUGAAU